GAUUGAACGCUGGCGGCAUGCCUUACACAUGCAAGUCGAACGGCAGCACGGGGGGCAACCCUGGUGGCGAGUGGCGAACGGGUGAGUAAUACAUCGGAACGUGCCCAGUAGUGGGGGAUAGCCCGGCGAAAGCCGGAUUAAUACCGCAUACGACCUACGGGUGAAAGCGGGGGAUCGCAAGACCUCGUGCUACCGGAGCGGCCGAUGUCAGAUUAGGUUGUUGGUGGGGUAAAAGCCUACCAAGCCGACGAUCUGUAGCUGGUCUGAGAGGACGACCAGCCACACUGGGACUGAGACACGGCCCAGACUCCUACGGGAGGCAGCAGUGGGGAAUUUUGGACAAUGGGCGCAAGCCUGAUCCAGCCAUGCCGCGUGCGGGAAGAAGGCC
rnacentral:rRNA from 1 species